UACGGAAGGGGCAAGCGUUGUUCGGAAUCAUUGGGCGUAAAGGGCGCGUAGGUGGUUCUGUAUGUCUACCGUGAAAGCAUACAGCUCAACUGUAUUUUGUCGGUAGAAACUGCAGGACUUGAGGCUGGGAGGGGCUGGUGGAAUUCCCUGUGUAGCGGUGAAAUGCGUAGAGAUGGGGGAGAACACUCGUGGCGAAGGCGGCCAGCUAGACCAGUUCUGACACUGAGGCGCGAAAGCUAGGGUAGCAAACGGG
rnacentral:rRNA from 1 species